rnacentral:rRNA from 1 species
UCUAAUUAUGAUUAAUAUUUAAUUAGAAGUGGUGUACAGGUGAGUAAAUGAUAUUUUGGCUACCUUAGAGUAAGGAGAAAGAUCCCUUAUAUAAAGAAAGGAAAUAAAAUUCCGCUUUAAGAUGUUAAUUAAUAUCUCGGGUAAGUAGUAGUUAGGGUAAUGGCUUAACUAGCUUAAAGUCCGUAGUCGAGACUGAGAGGUCGAUCGAUCACAUUGGGUCUGAAAAAACCCCAAUACGUAUAGUACAGCAGUGAGGAAUAUUGGUCAAUAGCCUAACGGCUGAACCAGCAACUUGGGGGAAUGAAUAGUGAAAACUAGUUGUAUUAACUAAUAGUUGAUGCAAUAUCGGUUCUCGUCGAAUAAAGUUCUAGGUAGAAUACUGAUAAUGACAAUUUUCUAUCUAUAUGUCUUGACCAAAACACGUGCCAGCAGUCGCGGUAAGACGUGAAAGACUAGUGUUAUUCAUCUUUAAUAGGUUUAAAGGGUACCUAGACGGUAUUUCUAGCCCGAAAAGGGUACGGAUUUGCUAGAGUUUAAUGUGAGAAGAUUUUGUAGUACUUAAGGUGUAGGGAUGAAAUCCUUUGAUACUUUGAGAGAACUGGUGGCAGCGAAAGCAACCUUCUAUGUAUAAACUGACGUUGAGGGACGAAGGCUUGGGUAGCAAAUAGGAUUAGAUACCCUAGUAGUCCAGGCAGAGAAUUCUGAAUGCCAUAGGCUAGAUUAAUUUUAGUAUAUAAAUGAAAGUGUAAGCAUUCCACCUCAAGAGUAAUGUGGCAACGCAGGAACUGAAAUCAUUAGACCGUUUCUGAGACCAGUAGUGAAGUAUGUUAUUUAAUUCGAUAAUCCGCGAAAAACCUUACCACAAUUUGAAUAAAAUACAAGCGUUGCACGGCUGUCUUCAGUUAAUGUCGUGAGACUUUGGUUGGUUCCAUCAAAUUAACGUAAACCCUUGUUUUAUUUAUUUUUUAAUAAAAUAGUUCGCCUCUAUAUUGGGCAAGAUAAAAGGGA